rnacentral:misc_RNA from 1 species
CUUGUACCGUAUUCAGUUGACUGCGUCCUGCAAGAAGAAACGGACACAAUGUCAGAAGUUAGUUUAACAAAAAAAAACGUGUGGCAGUAUUACGAAAAAGUGUCGGGUUACCAAGCAAAAUGCAGAUUUUGCAGCUACACAUCCGAACAGGCUGCCAAGUACACAGAGAACGCAUGACAUAGCUGAACCAUCAGGAAGCCAACCAAACUGAAGAAAACAGGUUUAUUCAGAGUUUGACAAUGGAAUGAUGAUAACGACGUUCAAGUAGCAUCACAA